UACGUAGGGUGCAAGCGUUGUCCGGAAUUAUGGGGCGUAAAGAGCUCGUAGGCGGUCUGUCGCGUCUGCUGUGAAAACUCAGGGCUUAACCCUGAGCUUGCAGUGGGUACGGGCAGACUAGAGUGCGGUAGGGGAGACUGGAAUUCCUGGUGUAGCGGUGAAAUGCGCAGAUAUCAGGAGGAACACCGGUGGCGAAGGCGGGUCUCUGGGCCGUAACUGACGCUGAGGAGCGAAAGCAUGGGGAGCGAACAGG
rnacentral:rRNA from 1 species